rnacentral:rRNA from 1 species
AUACGGAGGGUGCAAGCGUUGUUCGGAAUCACUGGGCGUAAAGGGCGCGCAGGCGGUUUGGUAAGUCAGAUGUGAAAGCCCACGGCUCAACCGUGGAAGUGCAUUUGAAACUGCCAGACUUGAGUACCAGAGGGGAAAGUGGAAUUCCCGGUGUAGAGGUGAAAUUCGUAGAUAUCGGGAGGAAUACCGGAGGCGAAGGCGACUUUCUGGACGGAUACUGACGCUGAGGCGCGAAAGCGUGGGGAGCGAACAGGAUUAGAAACCCCAGUAGUCC